GCAUGAGAUGGAUAUUUAGAUUUAAAAUAAAAGACGUAAUGUACUACGAAAAGUUAUGAGUUAAUCAAUUAAAUUCAUAAAUUUCUUAAUAAGGUAAACUCCUAAAGUUGUUCUACAAAGGCCUAUUAUAUUAGCGAAAUGACACAUCUAAGUAGCUAGAAUAAAAAAUCAACCGAGAGUUCAUAAUUAGGUGGCGAGCCAACAUGAAUUAGAGAUAAAGCUUAAAAGGUAAUAGAAAAAUUAUGAAUGAUUUACUAUAAAAGGUUUUAGUCCUGUAUAUUAACCUUUAAGUAUAAAAAAAAUAAGAAAAUCAUUGACAUUUUCUAAAAACUGGGGUACCAUACCUCAACUCUAAUAUUAUUUUAUAAUCGAUAGCGAAAAGUACUGUGAAGGAAAAAUGAAAAGAAAGUUUAUUCAAAAACUUAUAGUGAAAAGACUUUGAAAUCUGAUGUAUUCAUUAGCUCAAAAUUUCGUUAGAAAAACGAAUUAACGAGGUUCCUUUUGUAUCAUGAGUCAACGACUUUAUAAUCGUAGCAAGCUUAAGUUGUUAAAUGUAAGCGUAGCAAAUACAUGUUUUAAAAAAGCUUUUUUUUAAUGAGUUGCGGUUAUAAUACCCGAAUUCAAGUGAUUUAGCCAAGAACAGACUAAAUAUAUAGUAAUAUAUGUGAGAAGGUCAAACUAAUGGUUGUUGCAAAAACCUUAGGUGAUUUUUGGCUCGGAGUGAAAGAUUAAUCAAACUUGAUAAUAGCUGGUUUUUUGCGAAAAAUAUUUAGGUAUUGCAUAAAUAAAUCUACAUAAUAAGUGGUAGAGCACUGUUUAAAUUAGGGGGAUUAAACUCUUACCGCAUUUAUAUAAACUCCGAAUACUUAUAUUUGUACUUUGUAGUCAGACUUUACGUGAUAAGAUGUAUAAGUCAAAAGGGAAACAGCCCAGAUUAAUAGCUUAGGUUUCUAAAAAAUAUGCUUAGUAAAAAGGUCGUAAAAAAAUUAAGAUGACUAGGAAGGUAAGCUUGGAAGUAGCUAUCCUCUAAAAAGUGUGUAAAAACUUACUAGUUGAAUUUAUAAUUAAAAAAUUUUUUUGCAUCGAAAAUUCAGAGAAUUUAAGCUAUUUGCCGAUGCUUUAAACUUUUAACUUUAUGUGAAAAGCAAACGAGUAUAAAAGUGGUAGCAAAACGUUUCUUUGUUCAUUAAAGGUACAUUGUAAAAUUUACUGAAGAAAAAGAAAGUGAGAAUGUUGAUAUUAGUAACGUGCAUAAUGUUAUAAACAUUAUUACCGUAUAAUUCAAGGUUUUUUCCGCAAUGUUUGUCAGCGGAAAAAUAAAGUCGAUUUCUAAAAAUACUUAAGCGAAAGCAGUUUUAAAUGGUAAUUUUUGAAUAAAAACUACUAAAAGACGACGCGUAAAUAUUAAAACAAAUAAAAACACAAUUUUUUGUUCGAAUUUAAUUUAACGUCAAGAAAUAAUCUUUUAUUUAUAUAAUUCGUACUUAGCCAACAAAGGAGAAUUUGUUUUAUAGAACAAAGGUAAUUGAGUUAAUCAUUCUUAAGGAACUAGGCAAAUUAAUUCUGUAACUUCGGGAAAAAGAAUACCUUAUACAAGGUGUCACAAAAUAACGAAUAGCGACUAUUUAACAAAAAUACAGGGUUUUGCAAAAUUGUAAAAUAUAGUAUAAGACCUGAAGCCUGCCCAGUGCUAGCAUAUUAAAUGUAAAAGUAAAUGCUGUUAAAUGAAAUACUAGUAAACGGAGGUCGUAACUCUAACGAUCAUAAAGUAGCAAAAUUCCUAGGCAAGUAAUUUUUGUCCUGCAUGAAUGGCUUAACGACUUUUCGACUGUCUCAAGAGUGAGCUCAGUGAAAUUAGAAUUUGUGUGAAGAUACACAAAAAUUAAAGUAAGACGAAAAGACCCUAUAGACCUUUACUAUAUUUUUACGUUGUUAUAAAAUUUUUCUUGUGUAGUUUAAGUGGGAGCAAUCACUUGCGUAACUGAAAGACCACUCGUGUUAAAAUUUUGAACUAAUUUAAAUUAAAAAAGCGUAAAAUUGGUAGUUUCGUUGGGGCGAUAAUCUUCGAAAAAGUAACGAAGAUCUACAAAAGUAAAUUCGAAUUCUGUAGAAAUGAAUUUUUGAGUGUAAUGGCUAAAAUUUGCUUGACUGUGAGAUUUAUAAAUCAAACAGAGAUAAUAUUUGUCGGUCAUAGUGAGCCAAUUAUUUUGAAUGGAAAAAUAAUUGCAUAAGAAAUAAUAGGUACCUUAAGGACAACAGGCUUAUAGC
rnacentral:rRNA from 1 species